rnacentral:rRNA from 1 species
UACAUGGGGUGCAAACGUUGCUCGGAAUUAUUGGGCGUAAAGCGCACGUAGGCGGUUUGUUAAGUCGGAUGUGAAAUCCCUCGGCUCAACUGAGGAAGUGCACCCGAAACUGGCAGGCUUGAGUACUAAAGAGGGUCGCGGAAUUCCCGGUGUAGAGGUGAAAUUCGUAGAUAUCGGGAGGAACACCGGUGGCGAAGGCGGGGACCUGGGUAGAUACUGACGCUGAGGAGCGAAAGCGUGGGGAGCAAACAGG